rnacentral:rRNA from 1 species
UAAUACGGAGGGUCCGAGCGUUAAUCGGAAUUACUGGGCGUAAAGCGUGCGUAGGCGGUUUGUUAAGCGAGAUGUGAAAUCCCGGGGCUCAACCUCGGAACUGCAUUUCGAACUGGCAGGCUAGAAUACUGUAGAGGGUGGUGGAAUUUCCAGUGUAGCGGUGAAAUGCGUAGAGAUUGGAAGGAACAUCAGUGGCGAAGGCGGCCACCUGGACAGAUAUUGACGCUGAGGCACGAAAGCGUGGGGAGCAAACAGGAUUAGAUACCCUGGUAGUCCACGCCGUAAACGAUGUCAACUAGCUGUCUGUGGACUUGAUCCGUGGGUAGCGUAGCUAACGCGCUAAGUUGACCGCCUGGGGAGUACGGCCGCAAGGUUA